CUGGAAACAGCUCUUUUUCUUGGCCGGCAUCUUGGACAUGGUUCCUUCGCGAGAGAGACGCGAGUGAGAAGUCAGGGGGUUCCGCCCACCUGCCCUCGCUGGAGUCGACGAAAAACUAGGUAUCAUCCAGUGGGAAAAGUUAGCAGCAUUCUGAGCAGGAAGCCAGCGCCAAACCUGCCUGGAUGUGAAGUACGGUUGGCAGAAGAAAGCCCAGAUGAACCAACAUCUCCUGAAUGCUCCUAUUCAGCUGGUACAAAGCUAGUUUACUCCCCAUAGUGUACCGUGGAUAGUGUGCAUGCAUGAACGAACAAGCUAGCAAUCUUAGACUGCCAGAACUACUCUGUAGUAAAAAGCAUUGUAGGCUUCCCUAGCAAUGUACACUAUAUGCUUAAAAAAAUUCAUGCACUUAUUCCAGAUACUCUCAAAUCAGAACAAGAAGCAUGCCUCUGGCCUGAUAUUAGAUAUCCACUGACCACUAUCUUCUUGAUCAGCUUGGAAUAUAACAGCAGCUGGAGCUGCUUUGGAACUCAUGCUCCUAAAACAUGAUAUUCCCAAGGCCAAAAAGAUAAUGUUCUUCACACAAGAAACCUGCCAUUCUUUCUCAGGAAAGCAAGAAAUAGAAAAUAAGGAAGGAAGGAAGGAAGGAAGGAAGGAAGGAAGGAAGGAAGGAAGGAAGGAAGGAAGGAAGGAAGGAAGGAAGGAAGGAAGGAAGGAAGGCAAGCCACAUGUAUAGGUGAGUAUACAUUCAAUCAAUCAGUUGUUUAUUCCAUUGGUAUCCGGCUGCAAUCUACUCUUGGCAAAUUACAUGAUCUGGAAGAAUUUAAAACAUAAAAGAAACACAACCAGAAAAGAGAAAAACAGUUAAAAAUAAACGCAAACAUUCAAAUGUGCAAUAAAAGCAAAGAAUAAAAAGAUAAAAGAUUAGAAUGCCGUCUGGAAGAGUUUGGUCUUUGGGAUCCUCCAGAAUCCUGUCAGGGAAGAGGCCAGUCUGAUGUCUACCAGGGAGACAUUCCAGAACCAAAGGUGAGGCCUCUUAAAAGCCAUAAGUUUGAAAGGUGAAUCUGAUAAAGUCAGCUGUGUUCUGAAAAGGUGUUACAGACACCUGCUGAUUUUUUUCUACCAUAAAUGAACAGUCUCCUAUAAUAUCAUGUAGGAGAAAGGCAUUAAAAGUAUCUGGUUAUAAUUACAAUAUAGUACCUACCUUUAAGAUCAGAGUCAGUAUAUCAGUGAAAUAUAACUUAGGGCAAAUCCAAUACUUCCAGCUUUCUGCAUCUGAGCCACCCACUAUCUCUGGAAGGCAAGGAUUCAUGAUACUGUUUUCCACCCAUCCUCAGCCUUUGAAAAGCUGAUUUAUGUUGUUUUGGUUUUUAACAAGGUCAUUGAUGCUGCAAGGAAAGACCUCUCCUUCUUUUGGGAAGUUCACUGAUAGAACAGCACAAUAAUGGGCCUUUGGGAAGGGAAUUCUUUUUAAAACCAGAUGAAACUGACCAAGAAUUCUGUCAGUUUCCUCUUUCUGCCCCAAUGACAGAAACAAAAAGCGGUAAAGGUAGUGUUUAGGGUUUUUAUAUUUAAUGAGUCAAGAGGUGUGAAGGAAUGCAGUGAAGAGAUAGAUUCCAGGAAGGAGGGGCAGCAUUCCAGAGGAAUAAGAGGCAAUCCAGCCUAUGUAUUAUGUGAGAGAGAAAGAGAGUGAAGACAGCCCCUCCCUAACAGUUCACAGAAUAUAUUAUAGAUGCAGAUGAUAGAGUGCUCAGUCUGGCAAGAAUUUGUCUAUAGGUGUGAAACAAUAAAUGACUCAGUUUGGAAGAAUUAUCAUUGUGUUAUUCUUGGUUUGGGGCCUGACAGGAGGGGUAAAUAAAUGGGAAUCCAUAACUCAGAGGUUGGGAUAAAAAUGACUCAGACACAGCAUCAGGUCAUCACUGUUGCCAAAGCAAAGGAAGGGUUUGAAAUCCAAUAAAGGGUUUUUUUAAAGCCAGCUUCGUUUCCAGAUGGUUCUUGCAUAGCGAAGAAGCAGCUGAAGAUGUGGACCGGCAGGGAAGCCCUAACAGUUGCUGGGAAUCUCAGCAGGAAGGGCUAGUAAUCUUGCUUGUGAAUUUUCCCUAGGAAUUUGGGUAAUCUGAUGAAUUAAAGUUUCGAGGGCCAAACAUCUUUGCCCAGACUGACAUCAUUGUUAUACUAGCUAUUCCUGACCAGAAAUAUGUGUGUGUGUCUACAAAUAUGCUCAUGCAAGCUUUGGAGAUCUUUAACCAGAACAUAUGCUACUCUGUGUGUCUGAUAAGAAUCGCUUCUGCAUGUCUGGAGGCCCUCCAUCAUUCAACCAGGUCAAAACCUAAUAAGGUCAUGGCUGUGAGAUCAGCUACAUUCCUUUCUCACUUCCUCUCACUUCUUCUCAUUUAAUGAAGAGUUUUUGACUCUCAAAAACUGCAGUGAUUUCAUAGACAUUCACUUGUCUUAAUAAAAGUAUG